GCCGGGAUAGCUCAGCUGGGAGAGCAACAGACUGAAGCUGCGGUUAAUUUCGGGCGUUCUGGAGGUCGCGUGUUCAAGCCACGCUCCUGGCA
rnacentral:tRNA from 1 species